rnacentral:rRNA from 1 species
GUGGGGAAUAUUGGACAAUGGGCGCAAGCCUGAUCCAGCCAUGCCGCGUGAGUGAUGAAGGCCCUAGGGUUGUAAAGCUCUUUCAGUGGGGACGAUAAUGACGGUACCCACAGAAGAAGCCCCGGCUAACUUCGUGCCAGCAGCCGCGGUAAUACGAAGGGGGCUAGCGUUGUUCGGAUUUACUGGGCGUAAAGCGCACGUAGGCGGAUCGUUAAGUCGAGGGUGAAAUCCUGGAGCUCAACUCCAGAACUGCCUUCGAUACUGGCGAUCUUGAGUCCGGAAGAGGUGAGUGGAACUCCUAGUGUAGAGGUGGAAUUCGUAGAUAUUAGGAAGAACACCAGUGGCGAAGGCGGCUCACUGGUCCGGUACUGACGCUGAGGUGCGAAAGCGUGGGGAGCAAACAGGAUUAGAUACCCCUGUAGUCC